rnacentral:rRNA from 1 species
GAUGAACGCUAGCGGCAGGCUUAAUACAUGCAAGUCGAGGGGCAGCGCGGGUAGCAAUACCUGGCGGCGACCGGCGCACGGGUGCGUAACACGUAUGCAACCUACCUUAAACUGGGGAAUAGCCCCUCGAAAGAGGGAUUAAUGCCUCAUAAUACUGUGAAAAGGCAUCUUUUUACAUUUAAAGCUCCGGCGGUUUAAGAUGGGCAUGUGCGACAUUAGCUAGUUGGUGAGGUAACGGCUCACCAAGGCCUUGAUGUCUAGGGGUUCUGAGAGGAAAAUCCCCCCCACUGGUACUGAGACACGGACCAGACUCCUACGGGAGGCAGCAGUAAGGAAUAUUGGUCAAUGGGCGCAAGCCUGAACCAGCCAUGCCGCGUGCAGGAUGACGGCCCUAUGGGUUGUAAACUGCUUUUGUACGGGAAAAACCCCCCGAUCGUGAUCGGGGCUGAUGGUACCGUAAGAAUAAGGAUCGGCUAACUCCGUGCCAGCAGCCGCGGUAAAAC